rnacentral:tRNA from 1 species
CGGGGUGUGGCUCAGCUUGGCUAGAGCGCCUGGUUUGGGACCAAGAGGUCGCAGGUUCGAAUCCUGUCACCCCGA